rnacentral:rRNA from 1 species
AGAGUUUGAUCAUGGCUCAGGAUGAACGCUAGCGGCAGGCCUAAUACAUGCAAGUCGAACGGUGUCUUCGGACAUAGUGGCGCACGGGUGCGUAACACGUAUGCAACCUACCUUACAUUGGGGGAUAGCCUUUCGAAAGGGAGAUUAAUACCGCAUAAGACAGUAGCUGGGCAUCCAGCAGCUGUUAAAGAUUUAUCGAUGUAAGCUGGGCAUGCGUCCAAUUAGCUAGUUGGUGAGGUAACGGCUCACCAAGGCUAUGAUUGGUAGGGGAACUGAGAGGUCAAUCCCCCACACUGGCACUGAGAUACGGGCCAGACUCCUACGGGAGGCAGCAGUAGGGAAUAUUGGGCAAUGGACGCAAGUCUGACCCAGCCAUGCCGCGUGCAGGAUGAAGGCGUUAUGCGUUGUAAACUGCUUUUAUACAGGAAGAAACGACUCUUGCGAGAGGCAUUGACGGUACUGUAUGAAUAAGCACCGGCUAACUCCGUGCCAGCAGCCGCGGUAAUACGGAGGGUGCAAGCGUUGUCCGGAUUUAUUGGGUUUAAAGGGUGCGCAGGUGGUUUAUUAAGUCAGUGGUGAAAGACGGUCGCUCAACGAUUGCAGUGCCAUUGAAACUGGUAGACUUGAGUAAAGUAGAGGUGGGCGGAAUUGAUAGUGUAGCGGUGAAAUGCAUAGAUAUUAUCAAGAACUCCAAUUGCGUAGGCAGCUCACUUGGCUUUUACUGACACUCAUGCACGAAAGUGUGGGUAUCAAACAGGAUUAGAUACCCUGGUAGUCCACACUGUAAACGAUGAUAACUA